rnacentral:rRNA from 1 species
GAUGAACGCUGGCGGCGUGCUUAACACAUGCAAGUCGAACGGGAAACCUUUUAUUGAAGCUUCGGCAGAUUUAGCUGGUUUCUAGUGGCGGACGGGUGAGUAACGCGUGGGUAACCUGCCUUAUACAGGGGGAUAACAACCAGAAAUGGUUGCUAAUACCGCAUAAGCGCACAGGACCGCAUGGUCCGGUGUGAGAAACUCCGGUGGUAUAAGAUGGACCCGCGUUGGAUUAGCUAGUUGGCAGGGUAACGGCCUACCAAGGCGACGAUCCAUAGCCGGCCUGAGAGGGUGAACGGCCACAUUGGGACUGAGACACGGCCCAGACUCCUACGGGAGGCAGCAGUGGGGAAUAUUGCACAAUGGGGGAAACCCUGAUGCAGCGACGCCGCGUGAAGGAAGAAGUAUCUCGGUAUGUAAACUUCUAUCAGCAGGGAGGAUAGUGACGG